rnacentral:rRNA from 1 species
AGAAUGAACGCUGGCGGCGUGCCUAACACAUGCAAGUCGUGCGCGAAAGGGACUUCGGUCCCCGGUAGAGCGGCGAACGGGUGAGUAACACGUGGGUAACCUGUCUGAGAGUGGGGGGAUAACCUGGGGAAACUCGGGCUAAUACCGCAUACGUCCACUGGGCUUCGGCUCGGUGAGGAAAGGUGGCCUCUGCUUGCAAGCCACCACUCCCAGAGGGGCCCGCGCCUGAUUAGCUAGUUGGCGGGGUAACGGCCCACCAAGGCGACGAUCAGUA